GGGGCUGUAGCUCAGUUGAUAGAGUGCUUGCCUUGCAUGCACAAAGCCCUGGGUUCAAUCCCCAGCACCAUUA
rnacentral:tRNA from 1 species